GUUUUUUGUUAUUGUUUUUGUUUCAGGCAAGCAUUCGACAUUCCAUGCUAGGCAUCACUUUAGGUGGUCCCCACAUUGUAAGGAUUUUAUUAGACUUUUGGCAUGCAACUGGAUGAUUAAUAACAUGACUUGGCUGUAACUUGGAACCAAAUCUCAUGGUAGAUGCAAAUCUGACCGUAUAUGCACCUUCGGCCCACUUUGAACCAUCUUGAUAGUUUUGGAAGAAGUGGGCAUCUAUAGAAGACCCAGUUCCAAGUAGUUGUAGGAUGGAGGAGUUUAAAAUUCAUCAAGACUCCUCUUCUAAUCCAGCACAUUUAAAGGUUCUAUUCCUUUUUUAAAAUCAGUGCAUGUAUCACUUUCAAAGCACACCACCUCUUAUGCGAAUGUGUACCAUUAAGCUAGGGGGUGGAAUCAUCUUAAUCUACUCUUUACUCUUCUUCUUAUUUUUCUUUUUCUUUUUUAUUAUACACAUGCAUUCACACCUCAACACACCCACAUACUCUUGAAGCACUCUCUUCAUUUGAACAGGGUACAAAAAGGUGAAGCAUGGGUUUGGCAUGAGGGUUCCAAGAUCGAUGUUGAGGUUCUUCAAUCAGGGAGAUUUUUCCAUGGAAGCGAUAUUGGUCUUGUUUGGAGUCUAAUAGUUUAUCGGUUCUAAAUGAAGACCAACUUGUUCAAAUUCAAGAAGCGGUUUUGGUGUACAGAUUUGUCUGGCGUAAGCAAUCACAAUUGAAGCCGAUGGACGAGAAGAUAGUAGCUGUCGCACUACAAGCAUUUCAAAAAGUUAUGUGUGACACCAGCUUAUUAGAGACCCGAAAAAGCGACUGACCACCUAUGAAGUUCCGUAUGAGUGUUUUUUUUUAGCUAUAUCAUGUUUUAUAAUUUAGAGAUCUUGACAAUGGUGAAAUAUUUAUGACUGUGAAAAAGCUUUCAAGGUUAGCUCAUUUCUACUUAAAACAUCGAAUAACUAGAUAAAUCAGCCAGAAUGUACAUUGAUUAGUUGGUAGU